AAUCAACGCUGGCGGCGUGCCUCAGACAUGCAAGUCGAACGAUUAAGACUUCCUUCGGGAAGUGUAUAAAGUGGCGCACGGGUGAGUAACACGUAAGUAAUCUACCUUCGAGUGGGGAAUAACAUCGGGAAACCGAUGCUAAUACCGCAUAAUGCAGCGGCAUCGCAAGAUGACAGUUGUUAAAGGAGCAAUUCGCUUGAAGAGGAGCUUGCGGCAGAUUAGCUAGUUGGUAAGGUAAUGGCUUACCAAGGCUACGAUCUGUAUCCGGUCUAAGAGGACGGUCGGACACACUGACACUUAAUAACGGGUCAGACUCCUACGGGAGGCAGCAGUCGGGAAUUUUGGGCAAUGGGCGAAGGCCUGACCCAGCAACGCCGCGUGAGGGAUGAAGUAUUUCGGUAUGUAAACCUCGAAAGAAUGGGAAGAAUAAAUGACGGUACCAUUUAUAAGCUCCGGCUAACUACGUGCCAGCCGCCGCCGUAAGAC
rnacentral:rRNA from 1 species